rnacentral:lncRNA from 1 species
CUAUAUCCCAGAGCACUUUUGGAGAAAUGAAGUAAGUAUGUAUGUACUGAAACACUUCCCCCAAUUAUUUGCUCAGAUUUCUUUGAUACUGUGCAGGAUUCAUCUGUUAGCUUUCCCCACUAGGCUCCCUUAGUUUGGGACUUAUAUGAUCAAAGGUUCUCUAAACAGGCUAGGGUGAGCUGUAGGGUUAGGAUUAAGGAUAGAUCUAGUGUUAGGUUUACAGUAGUUUUGUUCAAAUUUCUUUGAUACUAGGCAGGAUUUAUCUUUUACCUAGCCUUACUAUGUUCCCCAGGUUUGGGCCUUCUAUGUUCACUGGUUUGCUGUCAGUAUUUAUUUUAAGGUUUCACUUCA